rnacentral:rRNA from 1 species
UACUAGAGUAGCACUCGCAUAUCAAUAAGCGGAGGAAAAGAAACUAACAAGGAUUCCCCUAGUAACGGCGAGUGAAGCGGGAAGAGCUCAAAUUUGAAAUCUUAAAGGGUUUCCCUUUACGAAUUGUAGUUUAAAGAAGUGUUUUCUGUUGAGGUUUUGGUAAAAGUUCUUUGGAAUAGGACAUCAUAGAGGGUGAGAAUCCCGUAUUUGACCUUUACUUUCAACUUUGUGAUACACUUUCAAAGAGUCGGAUUGUUUGGGAAUGCAGUCCAAAAUGGGUGGUAAAUUUCAUCUAAAGCUAAAUAUUGGCGAGAGACCGAUAGCGAACAAGUACCGUGAGGGAAAGAUGAAAAGAACUUUGAAAAGAGAGUUAAACAGUACGUGAAAUUGUCAAAAGGGAAGCGUUUGACACCAGUGUUGUUUUUCUGAAAAUCAAUUAAAGAACUGUUUAUGCUAAGCUGUUUAGACUUUAUCAGCUAAUCUGUUUAGUUUUGAGCCUUUUCUUUAAUGCACUUUUCAGUUAACAAGUCAACAUCAAUUUCUUUUGCUGUAAAAAAGCUUGAGGAAGGUGGCUUGAGAUUCGUCUUAAGUGUUUAUAGCCUCUUGCCUAUGCAGUCGGAGAGAUUGAGGUCUGCAGCGUAGAUCCUUCGGGGCUAAAUGCAUUUGUGCUAAGUUAUAGCAUUUUAUAGACAACUUGUUGACUAUGAUUCGUCUCGUAGCUUACUCGCUUAUGUUAUUUUACCUACGCUUAGGAUGUUGAACUACUGAGACAUAG